GGGCUGAGGCAGAAGGACAGAGCUCUAAGGCCAAAUGCUGUAGGAAAGAAAUGCUCCAUAGGAAAGAGGCUGCUAUUUUCAGAAGUAAGAGUGUGGGAAAAACAAAACAAAACCAAAUUCUGGGCAGGUAUCUACCACAAUCUGUCAAGAUUAUACAGAUGGGUCACAUGACAACAGUGUCACUCUCUUACACUAAUCAGACCCCAACUUCCAGCCUUACCCUUUGGAUUUGAGAUUCUUCAAAUCAAUUCAGCUUCAGCCUCCAUGAUCUCUACUGGUUUCAGCUGUAAUUAAGUUAAGAAUCUUGAGAUGAGAUCAUCAUCCAAGUGGGCCUUAAAUCCAAUGACAAGUAUCCUGGUAAGACAGCAAAAUGGAGAAGACAAAGACAAAGAGGAAAAGCUAUGUGAAGAUGGAGACACCACUGGACUUACAUAACCAAAAGCUAAAGAAUGUCUGGGGGCACCAGAAACUGGACAAGGCAAUGAAGUAUUCCCUGCGAGAGGCUUCAGAAGAACCGUGGCCUUCGGACACCUUGGUUUCAGACUUCCAGCCUGCAAGAUAGUGACAGAAUAGAUAUCUAUUGUUUUAAACUACCGAGUUGGUGAUAAUUCGCUGUAGUAUCCCUAGAAAGCUAAUCCAUUUUCUUUUAAUAGCCUAUGGUUAUUUUUCAGAGAGGAGACAGUUUUAUAAGUAUCUGUAAUAGUAUAUAAUGUAAACGAACUUGGACAAGGUAAUUUAAUCCCUCAGAGCCAGUUUUUUCUUUUAACUUAAUCCUAUUCUCACAGGAUGUUGAGAUAAUAAAAUAAACAGACAACUGGCAAAGGACAGUUGCUCAAAGAUUUAUCCAUUUCAGAUCAGAACUCAAAACAUACUGCACAGACACCCUGUUGAAGCAAGGCCUCCCAGCAGAGAGCUGGGGUAAUUAACAUGCAGAGCCCUGAGCCUGUGUCAGAAUCUCUUUUGCGUGUAACCACUUAAACCAUCUGGUGUCAGCCCUUGUUUCUCACCAACUAACCACUGCCCUCCCCCCAAACCUUCUCUACUUCCUGUUUACGUAGAUAGCUGCUUCCUGGCCAAGGGAACUGAACCGUUUCAGUCAGACUGCUUUUCCCCUGGACCUAAGCCACAAUACCUUCUUUGCUGUCUCCUUCUGCUUUUUUCUUACUUUAGAAGCCAUCACAUUAAUGAGGAACAAAUUGCAUCCCUGAGCAAUCCCCAGCUAAGCAGCUAAUCCUCUUUCUGGCUACUGGACUGAGUCAGAUGAACAAAAGGAGUUAUGUAUUAGGCAUUAUGUAUGAGGAGAUCUGUCCAUCCCUGCUUGCCCCCCCCCAAACCAUUGUAUUAAUGCUUUCUUUAUUCAAAUGCACUGCUUAGGAUGCCUCCUCCAUCGUCAGCCCUAGCUUUGUCCUGUUUGGAACACUGAUCAGUUAGCAGGACAGCAGUAGGUUAAACUCAAACAGGACACCAAGUAGGAGAGUUUGUUGAAAUGAUCCAAUUCAUGGUUCUUAACAUGAGGUAAAUAUCCAAAUAAGCAG